rnacentral:tRNA from 5 species
GCGGAUGUGGCGGAAUUGGUAGACGCGCUAGAUUUAGGUUCUAGUGUCUUAUGACGUGAAGGUUCAAGUCCUUUCAUCCGCA